UACGAAGGGGGCUAGCGUUGCUCGGAAUCACUGGGCGUAAAGGGUGCGUAGGCGGGUUUUUAAGUCAGAGGUGAAAUCCUGGAGCUCAACUCCAGAACUGCCUUUGAUACUGAAAGUCUUGAGUAUGGGAGAGGUGAGUGGAACUGCGAGUGUAGAGGUGAAAUUCGUAGAUAUUCGCAAGAACACCAGUGGCGAAGGCGGCUAUCUGGACCGUAACUGACGCUGAGGCGCGAAAGCGUGGGGAGCAAACAGG
rnacentral:rRNA from 1 species